AGAGUUUGAUCAUGGCUCAGGAUGAACGCUAGCGGCAGGCUUAACACAUGCAAGUCGAGGGGUAGAUAUCUUCGGAUAUUGAGACCGGCGCACGGGUGCGUAACGCGUAUGCAAUCUACCUUAUACAGGGGGAUAGCCCAGAGAAAUUUGGAUUAAUACCCCAUAGUGUAAUUGAAUGGCAUCAUUUAAUUACUAAAGUUCCAACGGUAUAAGAUGAGCAUGCGUCCCAUUAGCUAGUUGGUGUGGUAACGGCACACCAAGGCAACGAUGGGUAGGGGUCCUGAGAGGGAGAUCCCCCACACUGGUACUGAGACACGGACCAGACUCCUACGGGAGGCAGCAGUGAGGAAUAUUGGUCAAUGGGCGCAAGCCUGAACCAGCCAUGCCGCGUGCAGGAUGACGGUCCUAUGGAUUGUAAACUGCUUUUGUACAGGAAGAAACACUCCCUCGUGAGGGAGCUUGACGGUACUGUAAGAAUAAGGAUCGGCUAACUCCGUGCCAGCAGCCGCGGUAAUACGGAGGAUCCAAGCGUUAUCCGGAAUCAUUGGGUUUAAAGGGUCCGUAGGCGGUUUUAUAAGUCAGUGGUGAAAUCUGGUCGCUCAACGAUCAAACGGCCAUUGAUACUGUAAGACUUGAAUUACUUGGAAGUAACUAGAAUAUGUAGUGUAGCGGUGAAAUGCUUAGAGAUUACAUGGAAUACCAAUUGCGAAGGCAGGUUACUACAAGUAUAUUGACGCUGAUGGACGAAAGCGUGGGGAGCGAACAGGAUUAGAUACCCUGGUAGUCCACGCCGUAAACGAUGGAUACUAGCUGUUUGGAGCAAUCUGAGUGGCUAAGCGAAAGUGAUAAGUAUCCCACCUGGGGAGUACGCUCGCAAGAGUGAAACUCAAAUGAAUUGACGG
rnacentral:rRNA from 1 species